GCCGCCUUAGCUCAGUUGGUAGAGCACGUCCAUGGUAAGGACGGGGUCUCGGGUUCAAAUCCCGAAGGUGGCUCCA
rnacentral:tRNA from 1 species